UACGUAGGGUGCGAGCGUUGUCCGGAAUUAUUGGGCGUAAAGGGCUCGUAGGCGGCUAGACAAGUCUGCUGUGAAAACUCGAGGCUCAACCUCGAGCUGUCGGCGGAAACUGUCUGGCUAGAGUCCGGAAGAGGAGAGUGGAAUUCCUGGUGUAGCGGUGAAAUGCGCAGAUAUCAGGAAGAACACCUAUGGCGAAGGCAGCUCUCUGGGACGGUACUGACGCUGAGACGCGAAAGCGUGGGGAGCGAACAGG
rnacentral:rRNA from 1 species